UACGUAGGGGGCAAGCGUUGUCCGGAUUUAUUGGGCGUAAAGAGCGUGUAGGCGGCCAGAUAGGUCCGUUGUGAAACUGGAGGCUUAACCUCCAGCGGUCGGAUGGAAACCAUCUGGCUAGAGUCCGGAAGAGGAGAGUGGAAUUCCUGGUGGUAGCGGUGAAAUGCGCAGAUAUCAGGAAGAACACCCGUGGCGAAGGCGGUUCUCUGGGACGGUACUGACGCUGAGACGCGAAAGCGUGGGGAGCGAACAGG
rnacentral:rRNA from 1 species